CCCAGCUGUAGGCAGUGGCCCAGGUUGCAUGGUACCUAGGCAACUGUUCAUUGCUGGGAAAAAGCAGCUAAUAGUUGGCAGGCAUGCUGGGCCUAGUUAAUGCCAAAUUU
ensembl:snoRNA SNORA74 Small nucleolar RNA SNORA74